rnacentral:sRNA from 1 species
GCUGGGUGUGGUAGUGCACACCUGUAAUCCCAGCAGCUGGGGAGGCUGAGGCAGGAGUAUCAUGAGUUCAACACCAGCUUCAGCUACUUAGCAAGGCCCUAAGCAACACAAUGAGACUCUGCAUCUA